GACGAACGCUGGCGGCGUGCUUAACACAUGCAAGUCGAACGGAAAGGCCCUGCUUUUGUUGCUCGCUCGAGUGGCGAACGGGUGAGUAACACGUGAGCAACCCUCCCCUUCCUGUGGGAUAAAUUCAGGAGACUCGGGUUCAUACCGGGUAUGAGCUCUUGCUGCAUGGGGGUGGAUGGAAAGUUUGGGCGGUUGUGGAUGGACUCGCGGGUUAUCGGCUUGUUGGGGGGGUAGUGGCUUACCCAGGCUCUGACGGCUAGCCUGCCUGGGAGGGGGACCGGCCACAUGGGGACUAGGGUAGGGCCCAGACGCGUACGGGAGGCAGAAGUGGGAAGUUUUGCACAAUGGGGGGAGGCCUGAGGCGGAAACGCGGGGGGCGGGAUACCGGCCUUCGGGUGGAAAACCGCUUUCGCAGGUGACAAGCCGGUAGUGACGGUAAUGGGUAAAGAAGCACCGGCUAACUACGUG
rnacentral:rRNA from 1 species